GUGGAGCAUGUGGUUUAAUUCGAUGAUACGCGAGGAACCUUACCUAGGCUAGAAUGUGAGUGAAUAUAUCGGAAACGGUAUAGUCCUUCGGGACACGAAACAAGGUGCUGCAUGGUUGUCGUCAGCUCGUGCCGUGAGGUGUUGGGUUAAGUCCCGCAACGAGCGCAACCCCUAUUUUCAGUUGCCAACUGACAGCGAUGUCAAGGGACUCUGGAGAGACUGCCUACGUAAGUAGAGAGGAAGGCGGGGAUGACGUCAAAUCAUCAUGGCCUUUAUGCCUAGGGCGACACACGUGCUACAAUGGCCGGUACAGAGGGUUGCGAGACAGUGAUGUUAAGCCAAUC
rnacentral:rRNA from 1 species